GAUCAUUCUUGGGUAUAAUGAAUUAAAGAAGUAUUAUGAAGCUUUAUAAGGCAGGAUUAGCUCAUAAAAAUGGAGGGUUCUUUUGCUUUUCCAGUCCCAUUUGUUGUUUCACAGACAAAGAAUAAAACAAUCACUGAUGGCAAAGACUGCAAACUGCCAACGUUCAUCGGUAGAGCAAGGUGACGCUCGUCCUGUCCAGGCCUGUGGUUGGGAUAAGCUCAGAAAGCAGAGUCUCCAGGGCUGGUCAUCAUCUAUCAUAACCCUGCGUAUAAAGAAAGCCUUGAGAAAGAAAAGAAGUGACUUAUUAUGUGUCUUCUGACCUGGUUCUCAUUUUUAUUCAAAACAUUAGAACCUUGGGAAGAUGAAGAGAGGGCCAGAAAAAUGGGAAACCCUGGAUACAGAAACUUGGCUAGCUGUUUACUUUUUCACUGUACAUCUUUCUAUUGCAAUAGUUAAACCCCAAUUAAGACUGAAAUAACUCCUGAGGCAAACAAACGUAAUUGUGGAGACAGAGGGGAAAAUGUACUUCAGGGACUAGGAUCCUGCAGAGGGUUUCCGUCUUCCUGACAGAAAAACAACUUUGAAAAUUUGAGUCCUGGUAAUAGUUUGUUAACCAAGAACUCUACAAAUCCAGAAGGCACAAACAUGGCUUGGGGAGCCUUACCUUGCCAGAAGGACUAACCCAGAGCUUUACUACACCAUAGCUACCAAGCAACAGGCUUGUUCCUGAAGGUCUUUGGCUGAUUAACCAUUAACAUUUGAGGUCCUACAGUGAAAUGCUAUGCAGUUUGACUUUAUAUGGAGUACUUGGAAAACCCACUGAAAACUUGUAAGUACUGAAAUUACAGAUUCAGUUCGGGGUCUUGAAAGAC
rnacentral:lncRNA from 1 species